rnacentral:rRNA from 1 species
AGUGAACGCUGGCGGUAUGCCUAACACAUGCAAGUCGAACGGCAGCACAGUAAUAGCUUGCUCUUACGGUUGGCGAGUGGCGGACGGGUGAGGAAUACAUCGGAAUCUACUUUUUCGUGGGGGAUAACGUAGGGAAACUUACGCUAAUACCGCAUACGACCUACGGGUGAAAGCAGGGGAUCUUCAGCCCUUGCGCGAUUGAAUGAGCCGAUGUCGGAUUAGCUAGUUGGCGGGGUAAAGGCCCACCAAGGCGACGAUCCGUAGCUGGUCUGAGAGGAUGAUCAGCCACACUGGAACUGAGCCACGGUCCAGACUCCUACGGGAGGGAGCAGUGGGGAAUAUUGGACAAUGGGCGCAAGCAUGAUCCAGCCAUACCGCGUGGGUGACGGAGGCCUUCGGGUUGUAAAGCCCUUUUGUUGGGAAAGAAAAGCAGCAGGUUAAUAACACGCUGUUCUGACGGUACCCAAAGAAUAAGCACCGGCUAACUUCGUG